UGCCAGCACUCGACCCUUGCUCUUUCUCC
rnacentral:piRNA from 1 species